UGAGAGACAGCAUAUCCUGGAAACAUGGGCACUGCCCUAUGGCCCUGUGUUGGCAGGAUGGCUUGAGGCGAAGCUGAGAAGAAGGAGAUGGGGCCCACAGAGGGCCUCUGCCCAGAGCUUCUGGCCACAUGGAUUUGGAGCCCGAUCCCACUUUUGUCCAAGGAUUGUACGUCCAAAUCCAGGCUGAGCUCCUCAGUUGAGCUACUGGGACUCAUCCACGGUGUUCAUUAAAUGCCCACGGGGAGCUCUGCCUGGCACUCUCCUGUUCCUGCAGCUUGCCAAGUCUGUCAAGAGAUUAACCACGUUCAUACUGAGUAAAUACAAGAAACUUGACUGAUUGCCACCUGGCCUGCCCACUUCCUCGGGGCCGUGAUGGUUGUAUCAAGUGUGUCCCCAGAUAAGAGGACACUGGGACAGAAUUAAGAAGCAGGUCACUGAAAUUGGACUCACUGCCCUAGACUUGGCAUCUUCUCUAACUAAGG